ensembl:lncRNA
UCCCGCUCCGGGACCCGCAACAAGUUUCUUUAAGCAGCGGCCCCGCGGCCCCGCCCCGCGCCCGGCUGCCCAUUGGCGGAGCGCGUCCCGAUCCCCCGGAGGCGGAGCCCGGCCGCCCCCGCCCCCCACCCAUAAAGAAAGCUCCGCCGCUCUCGCCGCGCCCCCGCCCGCCCCGCCCGGCGCCGCACCACGUGGGCCCGGCGCCCCACGCCUGGAGCUCCCCUCUCCGGAGCCCCGGGAAGGGAAGCAGGGCAGGGAGGCCGGGGCGGGGGUCUCCGGCGCUCCCUCUCCUCUGCGGGCGCCGCGCGGCUCCUAGGAGUCCGCCCCCUGUCCCGAGGCUCAGCUAGGAAGCGGGUCCUCGGGCCCCUCCCCCGACACACACACACACACACACACACACACACACACACACACACACACACACCAGCCCGUCUCGCACCCGAGGUCUCGCCCGCAGACCGGUGGCGCGGGGUCAGCUGCUGCCUGCGGUCCAGGCAGGGUCGGUUCCGCCGCGCAACGCCCAGGCCCAGCUCGUCCAGAGUCUGCGGGCAGCGCACGUCCAGGUAACGCGCGCCGAGGGGCCGCGGCUCGGAGCUGGGGGACCCCGGGCCGCCCUCCCCAUACGGUGAGCGUGGAGAGCGCGCGCGGGGGCGCGGUCCCGGGGGCCGGGCAGUUGGAGGGGCGGGAGUGCUGGGCGGGGCCUGCGCUGAACCCGGCGCUGAGUCCCUGGGGCCGCCGGGCGGAUGGCGUGGCCGGACGCGGGGGCCCCGGGCCUUCCGGGCGGGACCCAGGGCUCGGGGGCGGGGAGGCCUCUCCGGCGGGGCGGCCCUGGGUGGUCCGGCAGAGGCGGAGGCCGCUCCGAGCCUGUGAGCCCUGGGCGCCUGCGGAGGCGGGGAGAGGGCGGGGUGUGCUGCCCUGGUGGGGACCGCGGGGUCGGAGAGGGGACAUUGCCCUCCCAGGCGAGCGCCCAGCCGCGGCUCCGGGUCCCCGCCCAAGGCCGCCCCCGCUAGGUGGCCGCGGCCCGGCCGUCCCCGAGGGUGGCUCGGAUGCUUUCGACCAGCGCGCUGGAGAUGACGGGGCUGCGCCAUUUCGGGUCAGGCAGCCAACGGGGAACACGCGCGUCUCCGAGCUUGCGGCCCGCGAAACCCGGGGGACCGACCGCGCCGGUGCCCCUAAAGCGCCCACGCCCGGGCCGGUGGCCGCCGCAGCCCCUGAGCCACGCGGUCUCCCCGGCCCGGCCGGCAGAAGGAGCUGGUCCGUUACCAGGAAAGUCCAGAUGCAAAGUCGGGUGUCGCGCUGCCGCUUCAUGCCCGCGCACCGCACCCACCUGGGGCCGCCACCGACCGCGCAGGACUCGCCUCCUACCCCCACUCUGGCCUGGCCAAGAACUGGUGCUCCCCCGUCCGCAGACCCCAGGGCCGCUGUUGCUUUGCCUUGGGAACAACCCGAGCCAGGCGCGGAGCUGAGGGGGCCAGGCCUUAGGAGGAAGAGUUGGUUGACCUCCGGGCUGAAGAGCAAGGGCCGUGCCACCUGCCGGGAGGGGGGUCUCAUCUCUGCAGCCCCCCUUGGCCAGGUCAGAGGAAGCAGCUUUGGGAAGGCGGACUGCGCGCUGGGAGACUCCACGCAUCGUAGGUGGGAAGCUGGCUGCCAGCCUGGCCUGCCCUCUCUUCUCCGCCUCACUGUCUCGCUUGGCUCUGGCACCUGCCUGGGAAGACCCACACUUCCAUCUGCAGUGCACCUUCCCUCUGGAGGAAGGGCCUCCCUCUGGAGGCCCUGCCCUCCGCUCGGGGUCCGCAUCCUUCCGUGGCCCUCAGAGAAUCGCCUGGGGCGCUCACGGAACUCAUCUGUUACGCCUGGGAUGCAGGCAGGCGGAAGUGGGGGUUUAAGUGGAGGCAGUGAGGAUGGGAGGCCCAGCUCAAACUGUGCCACCUUCCACCCCCUGCCCCUAGGAGAGCAGACGCCGUCCACUCGGGCUCACAGUGCUAUCCAGGUGUGAGCCACUAGGCCUGACUGGACGCCAGGAUGGGGCUUUCAGAGAGGGAGGUGUCAAGUGGUUUCAGUGUCGCCAGGUAUUAAGCACUUGCUGUGUGCCAGGCAGUUUCCCACACAGGACGGAGCCGGACCACCCUCACAGCCCCUGUCCCGCAGAUGCUGGCCUCGUGGAGGGAGGCGGGCAGCUAGCCCCAAAAGCACCUCUCAGAGGCGGGGACUUCAGGAAGGAUGGUCUGGUAAAGCAUCUUUGGUGUCAUUUAAGCUGAGGCCUGAAGCUUCUGACCUGCAGGGAGAGGCCAGCGUUUUCCCUGGGGAAGCUAGAACAGAGUGUCUGAUGAUAAGAGAGGGACCCAGGGUGGAGGGGGAGCCAUCAGAGCCACCUCUGAGUCCACCUGAUGGGCCCAUGUCCUCAUCCGGGGGGGACCUGCACCCCCUCCUCCCCUGUCUCCCAUCCCUGCCCCAGCCUUUCAGCUGGGGCUGGCUCUGCCCUGUCUGCAUGGCCCCGCCCACCCUGACCUCACCACCUGCUGGUGGGCCUUGCAGUUUCAAGGGGAGGACCUGAUGGGGGAACCUGGACCAGGGCUGUCCCCUGGCCAUGAGUGCCGGGCAUGGAGAGCUGGUGUAUACGACAUUUGUAGCUCCACAUGCCCUGGCCUGGGCGCCAAGGGCAGCUGCAGAGAAGAAUCUGGGUGGGCAGGCCCUACUGCCCAUGAGAUGGGGCAGGGAUGGCCUGGGGGACGCUUCCAGACGAGAGAUGACCCCACCCCAUCCGUGGCUCCUAGGGAUGGCGACCCCGGAGGCGCCUGUGUUCGUGUGUGUGUUUGGUGUAUGUGUGAGGAUAUAUGUGUGCGGUGUGUGUGUUUGUAUGGCACGUAGUGUGUGGUAUGGGUAUGGGAUGUAUGUAUGGGGUGUGUAUAUGGUAUGUGUGUUGCAGGUAUAGUGUGUGUGGCGUGUGUGUAUGGUGUGUGCUGUGUCGUGUGCAUGUGUAUGAUGUGUGUGGUGUG